UACGGGGGGGAGCAAGCGUUGUUCGGAUUUACUGGGCGUAAAGAGCGUGUAGGCGGCCAGGUAGGUCUGGUGUGAAAACUCGAGGCUUAACCUCGAGAUGUCAUCGGAAACCAUCUGGCUAGAGUCCGGAAGAGGAGAGUGGAAUUCCUGGUGUAGCGGUGAAAUGCGCAGAUAUCAGGAAGAACACCAAUGGCGAAAGCAGCUCUCUGGGACGGUACUGACGCUGAGACGCGAAAGCGUGGGGAGCGAACAGG
rnacentral:rRNA from 1 species